rnacentral:lncRNA from 1 species
UUCUCAGUGUCUUCCUCCGUCGCAGCAAUAGCCUGGGCAAAGGUCCUCCACAGGCAGUGGGCCUUAAAAGCUGCUAUAAGUCCUUGAUCCAUUGGUUGGAUCAAAGAGAUCAUGUUUGGAGGGAGAAACACCGUUUUGAUAUUGGGAUGAAGAUCACCAAUAAAAGGAGGAGGUCCAGGGGCAUUGGCAACAGUAAGCAAAAUCUUGAAAGGAUUCCUGUGAUCCAUCCUGACCGCACAGAGCAGCGGGGAAACCGGGCUGUAUUUUCUGCCCCCUCUUCCAGACAACCUCCAUCCACCACGCGCCAGGUGAAGCUUGUUUCUCUGCGCCCCCGUUUGUCAGCUUCCCGGGAGCCACACAACCUCGCCCGCCACUGGAGGGCAGCAUGAGGCUUCCUUCCGGGCUGGGAAGUAUGGAGAGAUUCCGGUGGGCCUCGAAGAACAGGCUGGCUCGCACAGAAAGGACUGGGGCUUUCCCGUAUUUAAAAAUAAACAAUAAUAAAUAAAUAAAUAAAUUAAUUAAU